UAUGUAAAAAAUAUAUAUCUUUCUUUUUAGCUAUUGAUUGAUUCGGUGCGUUGUUUAAGUUUUAUAUUACAUUCUUACUCCCCCCCACUUAAAAAUUCAUCAUGAGCAAAAGCAUAUUUUUAUGGAUGUGCAGUUGACUCCUUCUAAAGGGCUACUAUAACCAUCUGCGUAAUGGCGGUACACCAUGAGUGUGUCUGAAUUAGGCUAUUGGAGUCUCCCUUUAAAUUCAUCGUAGUUAAACCCUUGGGAUAUUUA
rnacentral:misc_RNA from 1 species